UGGGGUAAUAUGAAUAGAGGAUUAGAGGAUCCCAUUAAUACAUGACUUAUUUUCGGUCAGAUUCAGUUCGGGUAGUUUCGGAUUCGCUUCGGAUAGUAAAACUAGAACAGGAAAAUACCCAGAAAAUUUUGAUUCUCGUUUGGUUCUGAUUCUGAUUCGGUUAUUUUGCGUAAUUCAGAUAAUUUGGGUUAAAUAUUGAGUAUUUGGAUAAUUAUAUAAAAUUUGGUUCUUCAAAAUUGCUAAUUAACAUAAUGGUGACACAUGG
rnacentral:lncRNA from 1 species